UCCUAUGGAACUGGGUGAAAAUAACUCGAAAAAUGCAGAUGGUCAAGAGGCUUCUGCACUUCGUGAUGAACUUGAUAUGCUACAAGAAGAGAAUGAGAAUGCCCUUGAGAAGCUUAGAAUUGCUGAAGAAAGUUGUCAAGAUGCAGAGAAAAGGGUUAAGGAGCUUGAGAAGCAGGUCAUAUUCUUCU